UUUUUUAUUAAAAAAAAAAUACAUCACCUUUCCUUUAAGAUUAUAAAACCAUUAUCAAUUCAUUUCUGUCAUAUAUGAUGAAGAAAGCUCCUCAACUAUCGUUUACAGUCUUAACUAUCUUCAUCAUUCUUGUGCUAGGAACGAUGGCAAAUGCACAAGAAAGAAAAAAGAUCUGUAAUCAACGACAUAUCCCUUUAGCCAAAAAUGGGCUGUGUGUUGAAUCUGAAUGCCAAGCUAAGUGCGUUGAGAGACACGGAACUAAUGGGAAGGGUACAUGUUAUGGGACAAAGGAAAAAAACGAUGUGACUUGCUUUUGCGGAACUCCUUGUUAACGUUCUGGUUAAAUAAGGUGAAUAAAUAUGAUGCUAAAUCAUGAUAUCUUUGAAGUUUUUUUCACAUUUUUGCUAUAUUGUUUUUUCUUUAAUAGAAAAAACUAUAAUAUUUUUUAUUGGGAGCCUUGUAAUAAAGUAUUGAAGUUGACAUAUAAUUAUAAAUAAAGUAAAUGUUUGUUU